rnacentral:rRNA from 1 species
AAUCCUGACACAGGGAGGUAGUGACAAGAAAUAACAAUACGGGGCUCAACGCCUUGUAAUUGGAAUGAUGGGAACCUAAACCCCUUCCAGAGUAUCAAUUGGAGGGCAAGUCUGGUGCCAACAGCCGCGGUAAUUCCAGCUCCAAUAGCGUAUAUUAAAAUUGUUGCAGUUAAAAAGCUCGUAGUUGAAUUUCUGCCGCCCCGCCGCGGCCCCCGGGCCCGGCGUCGCGGCUUAUUUCGGCGACCUCGCGCCGCCGAAUGUUUACUUUGAGAAAAUUAGAGUGCUCAAAGCAGGCCCUUGCCUUGAAUACUUUAGCAUGGAAUAAUAAAGUAGGACUUUGGUUCUAUUUUGUUGGUUUAGCGCCAAAGUAAUGGUUAAUAGGAACAGUUGGGGGCAUUCGUAUUUAACUGUCAGAGGUGAAAUUCUUAGAAGGGCGA